rnacentral:lncRNA from 1 species
CAAUCUGCAAGAGGAUGAUGCGCAGCUGACGCGUUUUUCGACGCGAGGAAUCCUGGACGAAGACGAGGUUGAGUAGACUCGGUUUCAAUUUUGCGUCCCUCCUGUAUAUAAAGCCUGGGCUCGACUGUACCCGUUCAUCGGGAAGCGCUGUCAGAGCGCUGGGACUCGAGAAGAUGAUUUCUAUUCAGUCUAUGUCUAGAGCUCUGUGUGUUUUCAUGAAACUGCAGCGCUAGCGAGCACUGAUCCAAUAUGGCGUUUGUUUUAAAAUGAUGCUAAUUUGUCCCAUUUGUAUAACGUUAACGGUCUUCACUGCAUAAAGCGGAAUUAUAGUGAGUUACAUCACUCGCAAAGCAUAGAAACACUACAAAUUGCUGCCUAAAAUGAAAUAUUAGUACGACCAAUGAGUGGUUUCACAUUUUAUUGCUGCUAUUCAUGUAACGUAAUCAAAACAUUGCACUUAAACUUGAAAUCUGCAGAGAUGGCCACUGUUAUACAGAAAUAUAGCUUAACGUAUACUAAACAUAUUUACAUAACUAAAUGUGGCUAGCAUUGUAGAUAUCUAAAGCGUUCAGUUUGACACCAGUCAAAAUCAUUUUUCCUCAUUAUACCAAAUUCACAAAAAUAUGACACCAUAUUAAUAACCUAACUUCAUGCAGAUUUGUAGGUUAUCUUUGGCUUGGGCUCUUGAUUUGGAGUGCUGUGUAUGUCUGUCAGAUUGAGAAUAAAUGGAGGAGGAAGAGAGAGAUGUGGAGGCUGUUCUUCAGUCUGAGGAGAGAGAGGAUGCACAGCCUGAACACAUAAGAGAUGGACUGCAACAUGACAAAAAGGCAAAAGCUGAAGAAAAUGCAGAUGUACAAGAGCUUCCACCAGUCAUUCCAGCCUCAGAAACUGUAGCAGCCAAUCAGAAGCCUUCCACAGUCCCGACUCAAACGGACAACUUAAUUAUACUUGACCAAAACGGACAUCCUAUUCAAUAUGAUCGGGUGGUAAGGACACUACACCGUGACCCAUCACCAGCACCUAUAUUACUCUCACUAGAUGACAUGCAUAUCAUCCAUGAUCUUGUAUCAGUCACCGGAUAUGUCAAAAUGUACCCAUGAAGUCAUUUAGAGCUAUAUAUUGAACUAUAUAUGAACAUUUUCCCCCUCACCAAAUACAGUUGA